GCUUGUCUCAAAGAUUAAGCCAUGCAUGUCUAAGUAUAAAUGUUAUACAGUGAAACUGCGAAUGGCUCAUUAAAACAGUUAUAGUUUAUUUGAUAAUCAAAUUUACAUGGAUAACCGUGGUAAUUCUAGAGCUAAUACAUGCUGUUGUGCCUGACUUUUAGGAAGGGCCGUAUUUAUUAGAUAACAAACCAAUAUUCGCUCGCGCGUCUAUUGUGACGACUCAUAAUAACUGAUCGAAUCGCAUGGGCCUUGCCCGCGAUAAAUCAUUCAAGUUUCUGCCCCAUCAGCUUUCGAUGGUAGUGUAUUGGACUACCAUGGCUUUAACGGGUAACGGAGGAUUAGGGUUCGAUUCCGGAGAGGGAGCCUGAGAAACGGCUACCACAUCUAAGGAAGGCAGCAGG
rnacentral:rRNA from 1 species